UACGUAGGGGGCUAGCGUUGUCCGGAAUCAUUGGGCGUAAAGAGCACGCAGGCGGUUUGGCAAGUCGGAUGUGAAAACCCGAAGCUCAACUUCGGGCCUGCAUCCGAAACUGCCCGACUAGAGGUAGGUAGGGGAGAUCGGAAUUCCUGGUGUAGCGGUGAAAUGCGCAGAUAUCAGGAGGAACACCGGUGGCGAAGGCGGAUCCCUGGGCCUUACCUGACGCUCAGGUGCGAAAGCUAGGGGAGCGAACAGG
rnacentral:rRNA from 1 species